UCCUGGUUAGCGCAGUUGGCAGAGCGCUCCACUUUAAAUGAAGAGGUACCUCGCUCAAUACCAGGACCAGGCG
rnacentral:tRNA from 1 species